rnacentral:rRNA from 1 species
UACGUAGGGGGCAAGCGUUGUCCGGAUUUAUUGGGCGUAAAGAGCGUGUAGGCGGCCAGGCAGGUCCGCUGUGAAAACUCGAGGCUCAACCUCGAGAGGUCGGUGGAAACCGUCUGGCUAGAGUCCGGAAGAGGAGAGUGGAAUUCCCGGUGUAGCGGUGAAAUGCGCAGAUAUCUGGAGGAACACCGGUGGCGAAGGCGGCAUCCUGGACCGACACUGACGCUGAGGAGCGAAAGCCAGGGGAGCAAACGGG